rnacentral:lncRNA from 1 species
GGGAACCUGUUUUUCUAAACAAGUAAACUCUGAAACGUAAACCCUAAUUCUUUUGGAUCUGGCAGGGCUUGAAGAACUAAGAAAAAAAUAAUUUAUCCCUUCUCAAAUCACAUUGCUACUGCUUUUAGAAUCAAUUCUUGGACGAUGCCAUCAAUCCCACCUAAUCAAAACCAUUAGACAUCUUGCUCCAAGAAACUGAUUCUACAUAUGAUGUAUAGCCAUGGGAUGGGCCUUAUGUAUGCUCAUGGCAAACAGAUAACCUAAAGCAUGCCUUAAAUUUGACCCAAUGAAUGCAUUUUUCAUCUUCAAUUCAAAGUAUGUUCCCAUCUCUUCUUAGUUCCUGGAAAGAAAGAAAUAAGAACAUUCUCAUUAAGGUGUUUCUCAAUGACGUUCUACAGUUAAACAAAAUGAAAAAUAAAAAUAAAAGAAAAAUGAUUUCUCAAAAAAAAUAGACAUACAGUAAAACCUCUAUAAAUUAAUGCAGUUACGACUAAGAGAUUUUAUUAAUUUAUCGGGUUACUAAUUUAUCGAUAUACUAAUUGAUCCGAAAAUCAAUUUUGGGAAAAAAAAUUGUAUUGAUUUAUUCAGUUAUUAAUUUAUCGAGUAUUAAUUUAUAGAGGUCAUAAUGUAUAUGCACAAGAGAUUCUCAAUUGAGAAUCCCGUUAAGAAAUAGAUACACUACAACAAGAAAAGACUUUAACAUCAUUUAUAUUAGCUUUUACGUUGGUUAUAAAUUGACUAAAGCAUAUAGAAAAAAAAAACUAAAACCUAAUGUCAGAACCGUCAAAAUCUAUUAAUUUAUAGAGGUAUUAAUUUAUCGAGAUGGCUAAUUUUGUAAUUAAAAAAAAUUGUAUGAAAUGAAGUUUUUUUUGUUCUAAUCAAUAUCUUUAUAGAACCAAUUAAUUACUAGUUGAAAAACAAUAAUUAUGUUUGGAAAACAAUAUAUGAAGUUUUGGAUGAAAUAAAAAUAUUAUAAAUGAACUCUACCAAAAAUUAAUGCAAAUUUUAAAAAAGAAAACAAAUAAUACUAUAGUCAUAUCUCCAAAAACCAAACCAAAAACUUCGGUUAACCAAAAUGAUUUUGAAACCCCACCAAUCGGUUAUGAUCAAUUAACAUUAACAGAACCGAAUUACCCAAACCUUGGUACCGUUCGGUUUGGACAAGUCGGUUCGUUUCAAAAUCACAGGCCUAGUGACAACCUUCCACAGAGAAAAAAUGUUAGGAGUCACACAUUUGAAAAGUAUAAGAAUUCCAUUUAAUAUAACUUUCAAUUUAAACUUUAAAAUUAUUAAGCCUGAUACUAAAAAUAGUUAAAAAUAAAUUUAACUAGAUUUAACAACCUUUCCAACGAUGUAUCUAACAUUUUCCGAUGUUGUUGUUUAAUAGUAAUACUAGAACCUGACCGCACGUACGUGCGGGAUUUCAUAUUUUAAACAAUAUUUUCUAAUAAAAUUUAAUUCAAUAUAGAUAAGACAAUGAGAGAAAGUAGUGUCGUCACGUCCCGUCUCGUUGUCUAUCUUAAAAUUUCUCGUCACAUAACUGUUUCCUUUAAAAUAAUUACCAAUAUGAGAAUGUUUAAUUUAGUUCAACAGAGAAGAGAAUGGGUAAGAGAUUUAGAUGGAAUACCCGUAUUUUUCUUACUUUUUCUUUCGGGAUUUAAUUUUUACAAAAUAAAUAGAAUCUAUCCAAUUUUUUUUUUGUUAAACAUUCUCUAAUUGUUUAAAACGCUGGUGCGAUUUAUAUUUGAACACUUAUUUAUUUGGUAUAAUAUUCAUAAUUUGACAAACUCACGAAAUAAAUUUUCUAAUUCAUACUUAUAGAACACUACAUAAAAACCUUAUUCACCUACGGUCUAUAAAAAAUGUUUUGUUUUCUCUAGUUGAAAAAAGCUUCAUGGGCUGUCAAAAAAAAAAAAAAAAAAAAAAAAAGCUUCAUAGUUGUGAAGACUCAAACACAGAGAAUAAUAAAAACAUCAAAUACUAAUCCAACUAUUAUUCUAUUUGUUUUAAUUAUCUCUUUUCAAACUGUAGUAACAUGAUAUUUUCUGUUUGGAUUAUCUUAAUAAGUUCAAACUUAGACAUAUGAACUAUUUUUAUCACUUUUUUAGUAUUUCGUUUGCGUAUGUCAAAUGUAUAAAAUAUGAGCACUCUAUAGGAAAGAUCAAAGUUCAUUAGCAUCUGUACUAACUCAAUUAAAAUAUUUGGUUUCUUUUCUAUAUAACUCAUCCAUUACAAAAGUGGAAUCAAGAGCUUAUAAAAAAUCUAUUUUCUUAUAUUCUCCCCUGAUAUUGUUGGAUCAUAUUCAUAAAUUGCGUGUGACUGUCUUUUGUCCCAACUCAGUAGAAGCUAAGCCAUGCCUCGACAAACCUAUGUAGUUAAUUUAUAAGUUGUAGAAACAUAACAGAAAUGAGAGUACAAUGUUCUAUUUGUAAUUAUCAUCACACAAUUAAAAGAAAUGUAUCCAAAAUUCAAAUUUAUAAACAGAGAACAAAAUUUAAUUAGUUACAACUUACAUUUGGAAUGGUAGGCUAAUGAAUAUUUGUGAGUCAAAUUUUAUAUAUUUAUAGGGAGAGAUGAAGUUAAUGAGAAAAAUUAGGUUUACCUAUUUUGAAUUUUAGAAAAUGAUUUAAUAUCUUAAUUGAUUAUUUAUUCUCAUUUCAAAUUUUAAGUCAAAUCUCUUGUUUAAAUAUUUCUUAUCUUUGAAAUUAAUGACAACAUAUUUAUAUUUCUUUCUUUUUUUCUAUCAUCAAUAUAUUGGUUUAAAGAUAUAUUAAGAAAUCAAUUUUAGUAUUAAAAUCAUAUUAAUAGAAUAUAGAAUAUGACUUUCGUUAAAUUUCAAAUCAUUAUUUAAAUUUUAAAAAUGCUCUUAAAAUUUUUUGAAAAUAACAAAUCCAAUAAUAUAUUUUUCCUAAAUUAAUUCAAUUAAUUCAAACUAAUUAAAUCAGUUAGAAUUAAUUAUCUUGCCGAUUAAGUUUGAACUUCCAAGAUUUUCUCAAACUAUUAAUAACUUAUUUUUUCCCUAAAUCCUGAUUUUUAGGCAAUAGAUUAGAUUUUCGGAUUUUAUAUAUUUUAAGAUCAUAUAUAUAGUUUUUGUUAUUAUUUGUAGUAAGAUUUGGAAAGAUUGAAAACUUUUAGUGAUAUUUAUUAGGUAAUUUUAUGGUAUGAUUUGCAUAGUUUAUUUUAUAAGAAUUCUAAUAAUAUAGGAUUUUAUAUAAAAAUUAUUAUUGGAUUCAAAUAAAAACAAAUUUUGAUUUUUUUAACCAUAUUAUGAUGAUUAUUAAUUUCUAUAAAUGGUUGUUUCUUUAAUGAUAAUAAAUUAAUGAUUGGAUAUGAGUUUAUUAAUAUAUCCAAAAUUUAUGGUUGCAAUAUUUGCAAAAUCUUGGAAUUAAUAUAAUUGUUAUUAAUAUCACUAAUAUGGUUGCUAUUUUUUCUCCAUCUUUAAAUUUAAAAAUCUCAAUGGCAUUAUAUGUAAUAUUUUACCUUUUAUAAGGUUAUUUAAUUUUGAGUGAUUCCCAAUUAAUAGUAUAGAUUUAGUAAAUAAUAAUUUAUAUGUUUCAAAAUAUAAGAUGUUUUAGAUAUUUUAUUUUGUUUCAUAUUAUAAGAUGUUUUGCAAGUUUUUAAGCAAAUUUAAAUGCAUUUGAUCAUUUGUGUCUAUUGAUAUUCUGCAAUAUUUUUUUAUGAUUGGUGAGAUUUUUUUUUUAUUAAAUACAAAUCAUAUUUUUUAAAAAACAAAAACUACCUAAAUAUGUGUGUUUUUACUUUAAACAUCUUAUAAUUUGAAACAAAAGGAGUAAAUAAACUCUCGAGUAACAAUUAACUCUCUAUCUUCUCUCACUCCUAUUUCUCAGAGAGAGAAGGCGAUUUCCGGUAUACCGGAAUUAAUAACCGACGGAUCAGAAAAGUUUCUCUUCUAUUCUCUAUUUACAAUAUUUCAGAACAGAGAAGCUUACCGUUGGUUUUGAUUCCGGAUUUCUCUGGAGUUAUAUAGACUCUCGUCUUUGUAUGAGCUAAAUAAUUUCCGACCUUUGUCGGAUUCUCGUUACCUGCUUUGUCUGGUUUUUGUCUCUCGCUCUAGCGAAAUUGAUCUCUUUUCCUUUGUGCCCGUCGAUGUCGAUGUUCUCCUUCAAAAUCUUAUCUGAUCCCUCUAAUCUUUUUUGAGGAGUAAUAUCUUCGUCACUUCCUUUUGCUCAUGAAGUAAGAGAAAAGAUCAAACCACAUCAAGUUGGGUGUGACCAGUGGUGGAGCUUCCCCGGAGAUGAUGUUGCUGGGAGAGUUUUGAAGCGUUUUCUUUUUUCAAUCGAUCCGGCAGUUUCUCGACGUUUUGGCUAGGAUUCGAGAUCGGCAGAAGAAAGGAGGAUUCUCAUCGCUACUGGGUUGAUCGGCGGCGGCUGAUCGAAGUCAUGCGAUGUCCGACGAACGUUGACGGUGGCCAUCGAUGUCUUGACACGUGUACUGGAGAAGAAUAUGUAUCCAUCCUACACGUGUCUAACACUAAAGCAUAUUUUGCAUAAAUCCUUCUUAUCUGUUGACUAAAUUAUGUUUUAGUUUGGAGGGUUAACUUUUGCUUGUAAUUUGUUUGGGCCUCAGCCCCUUCUGUAUCUGUAUCUGUCUAUUGGGUCUGAAUAAAAAUGAGUUGCGGAAAAAAAAAACUCUCUCUUUAAAACUAAAGAACGUUGUAAGUUUCAUGGGCUUAUGCUUUCGACAUGGGCUCUUUUUAGUUGGGCCAAAAUUUUCUUUACAUGGAUUUGGCUCAACAUGUCCAAAUUGUUCUUUUUAUCUUGUAAUAUUUUUGAGACUACUGAACAUGUCACGAGUAUGUGACAUUGAGAUUGCAU